rnacentral:rRNA from 1 species
UACGUAGGGGGCAAGCGUUAUCCGGAUUUACUGGGUGUAAAGGGAGCGUAGACGGUUAUGCAAGUCUGAAGUGAAAGCCCAAGGCUCAACCAUGGGACUGCUUUGGAAACUGUAAAACUGGAGUGCAGGAGAGGUAAGCGGAAUUCCUAGUGUAGCGGUGAAAUGCGUAGAUAUUAGGAGGAACACCAGUGGCGAAGGCGGCUUACUGGCCUGUAACUGACGUUGAGGCUCGAAGGCGUGGGGAGCAAACAGG